rnacentral:rRNA from 1 species
UACGGAGGGGGCGAGCGUUGUCCGAAGUUACUGGGCAUAAAGCGCACGUAGGCCGUUCACUAAGUCCAAUGUGAAAUCCCCCGGCUCAACCGGGGAACUGCAUCGGAUACUGGUGGACUCGAGAGUUGUAGGGGUGGACGGAACUCCAGGUGGAGCGGUGAAAUGCGUAGAUAUCUGGAGGAACACCGGAGGCGAAAGCGGUCCACUGGGCAACUUCUGACGCUGAGGUGCGAAAGCUAGGGUAGCAAACGGG